UUGGAGAGUGGGGAAUAAGGUUUUCGGAAGAGGACAAAGGGUAAACAGUGCCCUAGAAGCUCACGGGUCCCCCUUUUAACAGUGGGGUCCCGACGUUGGGUCGACUCAAGAAUUUUCUUGGGUCGACUCAACGUUGGAUCGACCCUAUUCUGGGUUGGGUCGACCCAAGUUCAGAAAUUUUUUCUUUCUCUUCCUUUUCGCUUCUAAAAAUUUUUCUUGCUUCCAAUCCUUACAAAUUCUUUCUGGGACAAUGAUACAUGAGUAAGGAAUCUAUAG
rnacentral:lncRNA from 1 species